rnacentral:rRNA from 1 species
GGCAGCAGCUAAGAAUAUUCCGCAAUGGACGAAAGUCUGACGGAGCGACGCCGCGUGGAUGAUGAAGGCCGGAAGGUUGUAAAAUCCUUUUAUGACUGAGGAAUAAGGUGGAUGAGAGAAACGUCCAUUGGUGACUGUAGGUCAUGAAUAAGCAACGGCUAAUUACGUGCCAGCAGCCGCGGUAACACGUAAGUUGCGAGCGUUGUUCGGAAUUAUUGGGCGUAAAGGGCAUGUAGGCGGUUCUGCAAGUCUGGUGUGAAAUGCCGGGGCUCAACCCCGGAACUGCGUUGGAAACUGCAGAACUUGAGUCGCUGAGGGGCAGCCAGAAUUCCAGGUGUAGGGGUGAAAUCUGUAGAUAUCUGGAAGAAUACCAAUGGCGAAGGCAGGCUGCCAGCAGAUGACUGACGCUGAGGUGCGAAGGUGCGGGGAGCAAACAGGAUUAGAUACCCUGGUAGUCCGCACAGUCAACUAUGUACACUGGGUGUCCGGUCAUGAGACUGGGUGCCGAAGCAAACGCGAUAAGUGUACCGCCUGGGGAGUAUGCCCGCAAGGGUGAAACUCAAAGGAAUUGACGG